CGCUCCGCAAGGGGAGUGGCAGACGGGUGAGUAACGCGUGGGAACGUACCCCUCGGUUCGGAAUAACUCAGGGAAACUUGAGCUAAAACCGGAUACGGCCGAGAGGCGAAAGAUUUAUCGCCGGGGGAUCGGCCCGCGUCCGAUUAGCUAGUUGGUGAGGUAACGGCUCACCAAGGCGACGAUCGGUAGCUGGUCUGAGAGGAUGAUCAGCCACAUUGGGACUGAGACACGGCCCAAACUCCUACGGGAGGCAGCAGUGGGGAAUAUUGGACAAUGGGCGAAAGCCUGAUCCAGCCAUGCCGCGUGAGUGAUGAAGGCCUUAGGGUUGUAAAGCUCUUUCGUCAGGGACGAUAAUGACGGUACCUGAAGAAGAAGCCCCGGCUAACUUCGUGCCAGCAGCCGCGGUAAUACGAAGGGGGCUAGCGUUGUUCGGAAUCACUGGGCGUAAAGCGCAUGUAGGCGGGUCUCUAAGUCAGGGGUGAAAUGCCAAGGCUCAACCUUGGAACUGCCUUUGAUACUGGAGACCUUGAGUCCGGGAGAGGUGAGUGGAACUGCGAGUGUAGAGGUGAAAUUCGUAGAUAUUCGCAAGAACACCAGUGGCGAAGGCGGCUCACUGGCCCGGUACUGACGCUGAGAUGCG
rnacentral:rRNA from 1 species